AUUCACGGUGGGUAUGGUUGUCCUGCAAGAGAACGUUCUGUGCUGGUGAUAUGGUCCUGUCAGGUGCUGGUGGGUCCUGAUUCUGUGCUGGUGGGUUUGUUUACAUUGUAUCAGAACGGCAAUAAAACGACUGUUUUGUUGCUUAAUUUUUCUCUGAUGCGUCAUAAGUACUAUGCAAAGUAUAUUACAACAAUAUUAUAUUGCAAAAGUCGUGCAAGUUCGUUAAAUGGAAUUGUCC
rnacentral:lncRNA from 1 species